UUGAGCCGUGUGCAGGGGGACUUGCACGCACGGUUCUUAGGGGGGGAAAGCUCGAAAUAGCCUACCUAUCCCAAU
rfam:Sclerotinia sclerotiorum 1980 TF-70 mitochondrion, complete genome.